rnacentral:rRNA from 1 species
AGAACGAACGCUGGCGGCAUGCCUAAUACAUGCAAGUCGAACGAACACUUCGGUGUUAGUGGCGCACGGGUGCGUAACGCGUGGGAAUCUGCCCUUGGGUUCGGAAUAACAGUUGGAAACGACUGCUAAUACCGGAUGAUAUCGAAAGAUCAAAGAUUUAUCGCCCAGGGAUGAGCCCGCGUAGGAUUAGCUAGUUGGUGAGGUAAAGGCUCACCAAGGCGACGAUCCUUAGCUGGUCUGAGAGGAUGAUCAGCCACACUGAGACUGAGACACGGCCCAGACUCCUACGGGAGGCAGCAGUAGGGAAUAUCGGACAAUGGGCGCAAGCCUGAUCCAGCAAUGCCGCGUGAGUGAUGAAGGCCUUAGGGUGUAAAGCUCUUUACCCGAGAUGAUAAUGACAGUAUCGGGAGAAUAAGCCCGGCUAAACUCCGUGCCAGCAAGCCGC